rnacentral:rRNA from 1 species
GCGGUUUAAUUGGACUCAACGCCGGGAAACUUACCGGGGGCGACAGCACUAUGAUGGUCAGAUUGACGAUCUUACCUGAGGAGCUGAGCGGAGGUGCAUGGCCGUCGCCAGUUCGUGCCGUGAGGUAUCCUGUUAAGUCAGGCAACGAACGAGACCCACACACUUAAUUGCCAUCAAAGGCCUUCGGGUCUGUUGGGAACAUUAAGUGGACUGCCACCAUACAGGUGGAGGAAGGGGUGGGCUACGGCAGGUCAGUAUGCCCCUAAUCCCCCGGGCCACACGCGGGCUGCAAUGGUAUGGACAAUGGGUUGCGACUCCGAAAGGAGAAGCCAAUCCCGAAACCAUAUCUCAGUUGGGAUUGUCGGCUGUAACCCGCCGACAUGAACGUGGAAUCCCUAGUAAUCGUGUGUCAUCAUCGCACGGUGAAUACGUCUCUGCUCCUUGCACACACCGCCCGUC